GGAGGGGUGCUGGAGUGGCUGAUCAGGCACGCCUGGAGAGCGUGUGUACCUUUUGGGUACCGGGGGUUCGAAUCCCUCCCCCUCCG
rnacentral:tRNA from 1 species